rnacentral:rRNA from 1 species
GACGAACGCUGGCGGCGUGCUUAACACAUGCAAGUCGAACGGAAAGGCCCUGCUUUUGUGGGGUGCUCGAGUGGCGAACGGGUGAGUAACACGUGAGUAACCUGCCCUUGACUUUGGGAUAACUUCAGGAAACUGGGGCUAAUACCGGAUAGGAGCUCCUGCUGCAUGGUGGGGGUUGGAUAGUUUCGGCGGUUGGGGUUGGACUCGCGGCUUAUCAGCUUGUUUGUGGGGUAGUGGCUUACCAAGGGUUUGACGGGUAGCCGGCAUGAGAGGGUGACCGGCGACAAUGGGACUGAGAUACGGACCAGACUGCAACGGGAGGCAGAAGUGGGGAAUAUUGCACAAUGGGCGGAAGCCUGAUGCAGCAACGCCGCGUGCGGGAUGACGGCCUACGGGUUGUAAACAGAUUUCGCCUGUGAAGAAGAGUGAGUGACGGUAAUGGGUAAAGAAGCACCGGCUAACUACGUG